GUAAACUUAAUAUAGCCUCCCCUGAUUGUGCAUUGACCACUGGGCCAUGCGGUGGACGUACUCAAGACUUUUCCUCUGCAACCGCUUUAGUGGCAGGGAAAAGCGUGACAGUGACUAUACAGAAGAA
rnacentral:sRNA from 1 species